AUCAUCUCAUUCCUUAUUGCUCCAUAUCAAUUACAAUGAUCCUCACGUUGACUCAAUCAUAGUGAUUUAAUUUGUCAUGCUGGCUAUAUAAUCCCCUCCGUAUGCAGCCAGAGCCAACACACAAGUCCUUUCCCUUACCUCAUGGACCACUUGGCCGGUGUCUAGGUUUCUGACGCUGCCAAGCCGCCUCUUCGUCAAGCCCGCUGGACGGCAAACUCCAGGAACAAUAUGUCCGAAGUGUUCAAUCUCCCAAACGGAACUAUCAUUGAUGUUUCCGGCGUCGUGACGUAUGUCGGCCCAGCUGAGGCUGAUUUUUGUGCCCCUAGCGGCAUGAGGGAGAUCGCUAUAGUUGGUAGCGAACACAACACAAUCUUCCUGCGUUUUUUGGUGAGUCUGCUUAUCUACUCGGCGAUCAGCUGUUAUCUGCAGAACAGAACAAUGCAG